GACGAACGCUGGCGGCGUGCUUAACACAUGCAAGUCGAACGGAAAGGCCCUGCUUUUGUGGGGUGCUCGAGUGGCGAACGGGUGAGUAACACGUGAGUAACCUGCCCUUGACUUUGGGAUAACUUCAGGAAACUGGGGCUAAUACCGGAUAGGAGCUCCUGCUGCAUGGUGGGGGUUGGAAAGUUUCGGCGGUUGGGGAUGGACUCGCGGCUUAUCAGCUUGUUGGUGGGGUAGUGGCUUACCAAGGCUUUGACGGGUAGCCGGCCUGAGAGGGUGACCCGCCACAUUGGGACUGAGAUACGGCCCAGACUCCUACGGGAGGCAGCAGUGGGGAAUAUUGCACAAUGGGCGGAAGCCUGAUGCAGCAACGCCGCGUGCGGGAUGACGGCCUUCGGGUUGGAAACCGCUUUCGCCUGUGACGAAGCGUGAGUGACGGUAAUGGGUAAAGAAGCACCGGCUAACUACGUG
rnacentral:rRNA from 1 species